UACAACCAUUUCACGUUGUAACACCGAUUUCCGUACGAUCAGUGAAGUUAAGCAAAGUCGAGCCUGGUCAGUGCCUAGAUGGGUAACAGCUUGGGAAUAACCGGUUGCUGUAAG